UACGUAGGGCGCAAGCGUUGUCCGGAAUUAUUGGGCGUAAAGAGCUCGUAGGCGGCUUGUCACGUCGGGUGUGAAAGCCCGGGGCUUAACCCCGGGUCUGCAUUCGAUACGGGCAGGCUAGAGUGUGGUAGGGGAGAUCGGAAUUCCUGGUGUAGCGGUGAAAUGCGCAGAUAUCAGGAGGAACACCGGUGGCGAAGGCGGAUCCCUGGGCCAUUACUGACGCUGAGGAGCGAAAGCGUGGGGAGCGAACAGG
rnacentral:rRNA from 1 species